GAAGGAAGAGGAAGGAAAAAAAAAUAAAAAAUCAGCUGCUCCGCAGUCCCUUCUCACAGCUCAGAAAAUGGCUGCCACGCUCCUCGCUGCAAUUGGUUAGCAGCAACUCAGAACCUGGUGUUAAACCCAGCAUGAAUGAGACUCCGUUCAGGAAGUAAGAGGCCUCACCUACUUUCACUCCUGAGAGAGCGGCCAUCUUUAAAGCUCUCUGUCAGCUCACAGGCAUAGCCUGGCUGCUAAUAUUAGCACUUCCACUCUCCAGAAGCUUUAAGACCAAGAAAAAACAAGUGAAGAACUACUUCAAGAAGUCCUAACAACACAAAGCAAGGAUUUCCUGUCUGUAAUGAACAAUGAAGAUCGAGAGGUGACAAGAAGAACAAUUCAUCCGUUGGCUGGAAGGAGCACUGCUUAAGGGCUUGAUGUCGGUAUGUCUCUCUCACACACACACACACACACACACACACACGUAAUGACCUCGUGUUAACACGUCUGCUGUUCCAAUGCAUUACUUUGUAUCUGUUCUUGGAACAAUAAUAUUCAUUCUUCUUCUGCCAAAGGCAUUCUUAAAGGCUGGCUGAAAAAAUAUACAUUAUAUAAACUAGUAUGAACAAUUGUGCAAGAUAUUUUGUUAUACAGUGUUCAGUUCCCUAUUGGGGGUAAUGUUUGGAACAGCCUGGACAAACACUGGACAAACAGAUGGACUGUAAACAGGAAACAGAUGCUAAACUGUGACAUUUGAUAUACAUG